rnacentral:rRNA from 1 species
AUUGAACGCUGGCGGCAGGCCUAACACAUGCAAGUCGAGCGGAUGGAGGGAGCUUGCUCCUGGAUUCAGCGGCGGACGGGUGAGUAAUGCCUAGGAAUCUGCCUGGUAGUGGGGGAUAACGUCCGGAAACGGGCGCUAAUACCGCAUACGUCCUGAGGGAGAAAGUGGGGGACCUUCGGACCUCACGCUAUCAGAUGAGCCUAGGUCGGAUUAGCUAGUUGGUGGGGUAAAGGCCUACCAAGGCGACGAUCCGUAACUGGUCUGAGAGGAUGAUCAGUCACACUGGAACUGAGACACGGUCCAGACUCCUACGGGAGGCAGCAGUGGGGAAUAUUGGACAAUGGGCGAAAGCCUGAUCCAGCCAUGCCGCGUGUGUGAAGAAGGUCUUCGGAUUGUAAAGCACUUUAAGUUGGGAGGAAGGGCAGUAAGUUAAUACCUUGCUGUUUUGACGUUACCAACAGAAUAAGCACCGGCUAACUUCGUG